UGGUGAGGUGUCCGAGUGGCUGAAGGAGCACGCCUGGAAAGUGUGUAUACACACAAGUGUAUCGAGGGUUCGAAUCCCUCCCUCAUCGUC
rnacentral:tRNA from 1 species